rnacentral:pre_miRNA from 1 species
UAUGUACUCUCUCCGUCCGAAAAUACUUGUUGGGAAAUGGAUGUAUCUAGAUGUAUUUUAGUUCUAGAGACAUGCAUUUUUAUCCAUUUCUACGACAAGUAAUUUUAAAUGGAGAGGGUACAAA